rnacentral:rRNA from 1 species
CCUACGUGAGGCUGCAGUGAGGAAUAUUUGUCAAUGGCCGGAAGGCUGAACCAGCCAAGCCGCGUGAGGGAGGAAGGCGCAGAGCGUCGCAGAACACUUUUGCCGGGGGACAAAAGGCCGGACUCGUCCGGUCCUUAUGGUACCCGGAGAAAAAGCAUCGGCUAACUCCGUUCCAGCAGCCGCGGUAAUACGGAGGAUGCGAGCGUUAUCCGGAUUUAUUGGGUUUAAAGGGUGCGUAGGCGGGCUGUUAAUUCAGCGGUCAAAUGUCGGGGCUCAACCCCGGCCUGCCGUUGAAACUGGCGGCCUCGAGUGGGCGAGAAGUAUGCGGAAUGCGUGGUGUAGCGGUGAAAUGCAUAGAUAUCACGCAGAACUCCGAUUGCGAAGGCAGCAUACCGGAGCCCGACUGACGCUGAGGCACGAAAGCGUGGGUAUCGAACAGGAUUAGAUACCCCAGUAGUC